rnacentral:rRNA from 1 species
GUGGACGCUAGUCUCAUAGAUUUAGCCAUGCAUGUGACGUGAACCAGUGAUUUAUCAUGGGGGAACGGCGAACGGCUCAGUAACGGGCGAUGAUUUGUUCUAUGAGUAUGGACAACCUCAGGAAACGGAGGGGAAUACAUAGUGGAUUGUAAUUGUAAAGAUUACGAUAGAAGGCGUGAGCCCUCAUAGAGUAAGAAGCCAGCCCAUCAGCUAGUAAGUAGGGUAAGGGCCUACUUAGGCGUAGACGGGUACGGGGAAUAGGGGUUUGAUUCCGGAGAGGGAGCCUGAGAGACGGCUACCAUGUCCAAGGACGGCAGCAGGCGCGAAAAUUACCGAAGCCCGCAUGGGGCGGUAGUGAUGAGAUGUAUUAGUAAGAUGGAGAUAAAUGUUCCAUGUUGAACUGGAGGGAAAGUCUG